AUGUUUUUUCUUAACUGCAAAGUCUACCAGAUCCCUCUCAGCAAUGCCCCGUUUUGCAUCUUCUCAAGAGUCCAGACUUUCACACAGCAGAGCACCUGUGGUAAUAAUCUCUUCUUCCAUACACUAAAGUGCAUUGUCUAGUUAUAGGAUAUAGAUAUGUGCCCAUCAGGGCUCAGAACCUUUAGUGAAAGUUUCUAUUUCUGAUUUUAUUUCAUGCUUCCUCUUAUUUUGGAAUGGAUUCUCUCACUUCACUCUUCCUCUCCCAUCCCCCAUUCCUGCCAGCAUGUUGUCAUAUUUGAUUGAGUAUAUCAGUAAUAUAAACUGAUGAGCUGCAUAGAAAUAUGAUGUAGAUAUAAAGGCAUUCAUCAAACAAGUUUAGAGUGGCCCCAAGUUUAAAAAAUAAUUAUAAAUAGACUUGUCAUGAAACUCCAUUUUAGCAGACAGCGUGACAACAAAAUAGGCAGAAUACUGUCUAAUAGACUUAGGUUGCUGGCAUAGCUACCAUAUCCAUCAUGUUUGCUACCAUGUCUCUGAUUUCAAAUAUAAUAUUUUCUCCACUCCUGGCCACGUAUCAGAUAUUCUUCAUUUAUUCAACAUAGUCAUCAAAUUCUUAAAGCAAAUGGUAUUCCUAUUUCCCAACCAAGUGAUUGUCACUAGCAAAAUGGUGGUAUUGUGAACAGUAGUAGUAGUAAUAAUAGAUAGCUUUUAUUGGGUACAAAUCUGUCUACCCGAUUGAAUGCUUUAUGUACCAUCAUAAUAGUCCUAUAAUCAUCACUAUCGUCCUAUAAGUCUUUGAUGCCUGUGCCUUUGCCUAAAUAUACCAUAAAAUAGCUCUUUCUUUUCAUGAAAUUCCACUUCAUGUCCUUCCUUUGUAGUCCUUGUCAUCUGGCUCCUGCCUCAUCACUCUGUUGAUACUAAUCACCAAUAGCCAUCUUAUUAACCAAUUCAAAAGCUUCUCUCGUUUUCUUAUCCUGUUUGGUCUUUCCUCCUGGGUUUUAUUUUACAUUUCUGACUAUUAUCUCAUUAAUUAACUUUUCUAAUAAUUAUUACAACACUUAUUUGAUAGAUAAAGGAGUUGAGUCUUCCAUGGGUUAAAUAACUUGUCCAGGGUUACACAGCUAGUAAGUGAAAGAGCCAGGGUCGACAACUCUAGUGUUCAGAUUUUUUACCCCACUAAGCAAUCCCAAAUCCCAAAACUCAAACUUCACAGUUAUUUAACCAACUCUACUCCACAGAUAUUUGCCUCCACUUCACCUGGGCACAUCAUUCCCAUGGCCAUGCUUUGUGGACUUGAAGUUCCAAGAUCAUAAACUAAAACUGUGAUUUACUAAUCACAACAGUUCCCCUGUAAUUAUGCCUCCUUUUUAUCAUUUGUUUAUUUUUAUUGUAUGUAUUUAAGGUGUAUAACAUGAUGUUUUGAUAUACAUAUGCAUAGUGAAAUAAUUGCUACACUCAAGCAGAUUAACUUAUUCAUUACUCACAGUUAUCUUUUUUAAAAUGCUAAAAGUAUCUACAAUCGACUCUUAGCAAAUUUUCAGUAUAUGAUACAACAUAAUUAACAGUAGUCCUCACGCUGUACCUUGGAUCUAUAGACUUAGUCAUCUUACUUAACUAUAAAUUUAUAUCGUUUGGCCUACAUCUCCUUAUUCUGUCCUAUUCCUCCCACCCAUGGUAAUUACCAUUUUACUGUCUGUUUCUAUGUAUUAGCCUCUGUUCAGAUUUAACAUAUAAGUGGGAUGAUACAGUAUUUUUCUUUCUGUUUCUGACUUAUUACACUUAGAAUAAGUGAUCUUAGAUUAAGGAUCUCUAAGUGAUCCUUAGAAUAAGGCUCUCCAAUUUCAUCCACAGUAUCAUAAAUGGCAGAUUUUUCUUUUAUUUUUAAGGCUGAGUAGUAUUCCAUUGUGUAUAUAUACCAGUCAUCCACUGAUGAACACUUAGUUUGUAUCCAUAUCUUGAUCGUUGUGACUAAUGCUGCAAUGAACGUGGGAGUGCAGUCAUCUCUGAGGUGCUAAUUUCAUUUCUUUGACUAUUUCGCCAGAUGAGGGGUUGCUAGAUCAUAUGGUAGUUCCAUUUUUAAUUUUUUGAGCAACCUCCAUACUGUUUUAAUUAACAGCUAUACCAAUUUACAUUCCCACCAAGCCGUCUUCUUAAAUAAUUUUAGUACAACUCUAUUCCAUUUCUUCAAGUCUCCUCUCGCUGGUCAAACUGCUGCAUUUGCCCUGUUAAUCUGGUACUACAUUCAUCCACCCACUCUGUUUCUGAAUAGAUAGAUGCUCUGCUGGAAAAAGGGUAUUUUGUCGUGACAUCCUUAGUGCUAUUAAACUCCGUAUUCCUGUCCACUCCCUUUGCUCCUUCCCCUAAACCCACCACUCCACUGAUGUCACUUUACUCCCAACAGGUGAUAGAGUCUUUUCUCCAGCAUAAUAAAGACCAUGGAAGAUGAAACCACCGUAUUUUCCUCUCUUCUUCCUCCAAGCUUAUUUUCACUUAUCUUCACCUUCCCACAUCUACAUUUCAAACUUGGCUGUACAUUAGAAUCCCCUGCGGAAAUGGUAUGAUUCCC
ensembl:lncRNA